rnacentral:rRNA from 1 species
CCUACGGGGGGCAGCAGUGAGGAAUAUUGGUCAAUGGGCGUAAGCCUGAACCAGCCAAGUCGCGUGAAGGAUGAAGGUCCUAUGGUUCGUAAACCUCUUUUAUAAGGAAGUAAAGUGCGGGACGUGUCCCGUUUUGUAUGUACCUUAUGAAUAAGGAUCGGCUAACUCCGUGCCAGCAGCCGCGGUAAUACGGAGGAUCCGACAGUUAUCCGGAUUUAUUGGGUUUAAAGGGUGCGUAGGGGGCGUUUUAAGUUAGCGGGGAAAGUCUGUGGCUCAACCCUCGAAUUGCCGUUGAUACUGGGAGGCUUGAGUAUGUUUGAGGCAGGCGGAAUGCGUGGUGUAGCGGUGAAAUGCUUAGAUAUCACGCAGAACCCCGAGUGCGAAGGCAGCUUACCAAGCCAUGACUGACGCUGAGGCACGAAAGUGCGGGGAUCGAACAGGAUUAGAUACCCGAGUAGUC